rnacentral:rRNA from 1 species
GAUGAACGCUGGCGGCGUGCCUAAUACAUGCAAGUCGAGCGAACAGAUAAGGAGCUUGCUCCUUUGACGUUAGCGGCGGACGGGUGAGUAACACGUGGGUAACCUACCUAUAAGACUGGAAUAACUCCGGGAAACCGGGGCUAAUGCCGGAUAAUAUUUAGAACCGCAUGGUUCUAAAGUGAAAGAUGGUUUUGCUAUCACUUAUAGAUGGACCCGCGCCGUAUUAGCUAGUUGGUGGGGUAAUGGCUUACCAAGGCAACGAUACGUAGCCGACCUGAGAGGGUGAUCGGCCACACUGGAACUGAGACACGGUCCAGACUCCUACGGGAGGCAGCAGUAGGGAAUCUUCCGCAAUGGGCGAAAGCCUGACGGAGCAACGCCGCGUGAGUGAUGAAGGUCUUCGGAUCGUAAAACUCUGUUAUUAGGGAAGAACAAAUGUGUAAGUAACUGUGCACGUCUUGACGGUACCUAAUCAGAAAGCCACGGCUAACUACGUGCCAGCAGCCGCGGUAAUA